rnacentral:rRNA from 1 species
UACGAAGGGGACUAGCGUUGUUCGGAAUCACUGGGCGUAAAGCGCACGUAGGCGGAUUUGUAAGUCAGGGGUGAAAUCCCGGGGCUCAACCUCGGAACUGCCUUUGAUACUGCAAAUCUCGAGUCCGAUAGAGGUGGGUGGAAUUCCUAGUGUAGAGGUGAAAUUCGUAGAUAUUAGGAAGAACACCGGUGGCGAAGGCGGCCCACUGGAUCGGUACUGACGCUGAGGUGCGAAAGCGUGGGGAGCAAACAGG